CUUGUCUCGUGCUCUUGCCUAUAAUUGUUUAUAGUGACCAGAGCUGGUGGGCAUCAACUACAGUUGACUUAAGAGGACGUUGCACCCACACAUGUUGUCUCCGUCUCACACACGCACGCACGACGGCAAAUGUUCGUCAACCAGUCUCGGUACCUGUAGUGCAUAAUUGGUGUGCUGUUGGCUGUUAGUGUUUCGAUAUUAGAGUAGGUAAACCGUCGGAUCAUUCAAAUGUUGAGAUUUCCAAAGUAAGAAGGCAAAAAUGGUCUGAUUCUAUCCAAAGAGAUAACUUUAUUCCUACAAAAUAUUUGCGUUUGUGCAGUAUCCAUUUUAGUUACAGCGAGUUUGUAAGUUUGUAGAAAAACUUGUUUUAAAAAAUACAGCUAAUCCAACAAUUUUUAACUAUACCAAACGACUAUUCAAAUGUUUAAGCUACAAACUUGUUUACAACUAUAGUUCCUCAGUUUCUCCUUCAUAAAUUAUACCAACACAUACUUUCUAUUUCUUCUAAUGUACCCAUUGAUUCUGUUGUUGAAAGUGCUGUUGGUAAUUAUUAAGCCGUCAAUCUGACUUUUAUUGGACCUAAUUCUAGACAGUCGCCUCAAAGCCCUACAUAUCACCCACACUAGAAAGAAAAUUCAAGAAAUAAUUAUUUGAUACACCAAAAAAAAUCAACCUUAAAAAAUGAAUCAAACUAUUACAACAAACAGUUUGAAGACAGAGUACAAACAUUAAUACACUUAAGGUAUCGCCGACACUGACAGAGCUGCUUAAACAUUACGCCGACAUUGAUCUAAUAAUGUAAAUUUGAUAAUAUGUAAAUAAUUGAAAUCGGUUAGUUAAAUAAGACUUAAAUCAUGAUAUCAAUGGAUCACCA